UACGGAGGGUGCAAGCGUUAUCCGGAUUUACUGGGUUUAAAGGGUGCGUAGGUGGGCAGUUAAGUCAGUGGUGAAAUCUCCGAGCUUAACUCGGAAACUGCCAUUGAUACUAUCUGUCUUGAAUAUCCUGGAGGUGAGCGGAAUAUGUCAUGUAGCGGUGAAAUGCUUAGAUAUGACAUAGAACACCAAUUGCGAAGGCAGCUCACUACGGGAUUAUUGACACUGAGGCACGAAAGCGUGGGGAUCAAACAGG
rnacentral:rRNA from 1 species